UACGGAGGGUGCAAGCGUUAAUCGGAAUUACUGGGCGUAAAGCGUGCGCAGGCGGUUUGUUAAGUCUGCUGUGAAAUCCCCGAGCUCAACUUGGGAAUUGCAGUGGAUACUGGCAGGCUAGAGUGUGUCAGAGGAUGGUGGAAUUCCCGGUGUAGCGGUGAAAUGCGUAGAGAUCGGGAGGAACAUCAGUGGCGAAGGCGGCCAUCUGGGACAACACUGACGCUCAUGCACGAAAGCGUGGGGAGCAAACAGG
rnacentral:rRNA from 1 species